GGCUGGUCGGCCUGGCUGCUUUCGGUAUCGCACUUCGCAAGCCACACUCCUUAAUAGUCAGCUACCUUCGUUUCACUGUCGGUAUCAGUCUUCGGCAACCAUGCUGGAACACCUGAGCUCGCUGCCCACCCAGAUGGAUUACAAGGGGCAGAAGCUAGCUGAACAGAUGUUUCAGGGAAUUAUUCUUUUUUCUGCAUUGGAUUUAUCUACGGGUAUGUGGCUGAACAGUUCGGGUGGACCGUCUACAUAGUUAUGGCUGGGUUUGCUUUCUCGUGUUUGCUGACACUUCCUCCGUGGCCCAUCUACCGCCGCCAUCCCCUGAAGUGGUUACCUGUUCAAGACUCAGGCACAGAAGACAAGAAAUCAGGGGACAGAAAAAUUAAGAGGCAUGCUAAAAAUAACUGAUUGGGACUUUCACGAUUCAGCACCUGCUUUUUGUUUCCUGUAAGAUGGCUGGAUUGCUUUCAUAACCAAAACAGCUUAAACCACCUAUGUUCUUACAGCACAGCUGUGUG
rnacentral:lncRNA from 1 species